UGUCUGAGGAGCUGAGACACCUGGGUUUUUAAAGACUCCUUUGAUUGCCAGCUAAGAGGAAUGUGACACAUUCAUUUCCCAUGGGAGAAGGAAAUUCACCGGAUGUCAGUGCUGCUGGUUAGCAAGAAAAGGUAACCGUGGCCAGGGGAAAACAUGGAUAUGUUGAAAUGGUCACAGACAUGUGAUUUCUCCUACAUUUCUGCUGGGAAUCCUGUACUUCACACCAUUUUCCUGGCAUAGCUGCCUGUUCCAGUCAUGGAGGAGGUGGACAGUGCCUGAACAGUCUUGGCAAAACUACCUGGUGGACACUGGAAAAAUAACUAACGGGCACUGCCGCAGGGACAUUCCAUAACCUGUUGAAUUUCUGUCUUCCUGAUGGAAAGGUAGCUGUGCUGUACUUCCCUACAGGCUAGACACUGUUACAAAACCACAUGAUUUUAUAAAUAAAAAAUCUCAGUAAAAACAGAUUCAUGGCUAGCAGUUAUGAACGGUCUGAAAAGAGACAGUAUGCUGAUAAAUUGGGAGCUUCCUACCACUGUGAUCCCCCUGUAACAGUGUAACGGUCUACCUACAUAUGACUAAAGAGAAAGAAGGAUUUAUACCAGCUUGAUUUUAAAUAUGUUCCUAUGUUUAUUGUAUUUUGCUACUCCUCUCCCCUAAAAUGGUGGCCUCGGGAAAAGCUGCUUUGGCAGGCAAUUGCAAAGAUUCCUGUGGAGAGGAAGUGAAAAGACUGGGCAUACAAACAAGGGCUGCUGCCAUGUUCAAAGCACUGGGGAGAGUUCAUAGAGCAAAAUGCAGUCCUAAGUAAAUGGGUUUCAGGCAAUUUCAGUGUUAAGAUAACAUCAUUAAGAGUAGAACAGAUUGUGCUCAAACCCUGCUGUUUAUAAUUAACACAUUGCUUCCAAAUACUCCAGGGUCCCUGGUAAAUAGUCCUCCGCUCAGAUCCACCUAGACCAAUCAGAGUUAUUUUCAUCCGAUUCCAUGCUGGGCCAGCACCUGUCUGGACAAAUCCAAAAGAGCCAAAAUACUCUUCUUUCUGGCCAGCUAAGUAGAGAGAUGAACACAGCUUGCCUUAGUCAUUGUCACAGUGUCCAUAUGGCUGUGAAGCUUGUUUUCACAAGAAAUCGUACAAGUACUUUAUUAUGUCGAAGUUCACGGUCCUAUAAGCAAAAACACAGUAUAUCAGAACAAUCAUCUUAACAGCGCUAAGACUUUAACCUGUUUGGAGACAACACACGUGGGAGACUCUGCACAAUCAAAAUCAAGCAAUACCUCCUCCCCUCCAAACGCAAUUGAGCACGAAUGAUAACUUCUAAUUUCUAAUGUUAUUUACAGUAUCUAUCUUUUGAGUAUUUAAACUCUGUAAGAUUUUUC